AAGUCGUAACAAGGUUUCCGUAGGUGAACCUGCGGAAGGAUCAUUAUUGAGUUUAAGCGGGGGUUGUGCUGGUCUUCGGACACUGUGCACGCCUUCGACUCAUCCACUCACACCUGUGCACUUUUGCGGGGGUUUAACCAUCUCCGAUAAUCACAUACACACUAUCAUACAAAUCAGAAUGAAUAAUCUUAAUUGAAACAACUUUCAACAACGGAUCUCUUGGCUCUC
rnacentral:misc_RNA from 1 species